ensembl:lncRNA
GACGGUUACUCUGACAUCCCAUCUCAGGAGACAGGUGGUCCACCUCAAGUAUAUAAAGGAUCCUCCUUGCUAACAAUAAAAAUCAGACCAAGCCAAGGAUUUGGGAGUGCCUCGAAGCAGCUUUCUGUAAGAAAACCUACCCACCAACAACUUUUACAAGGGCAGAAGGACGAGCUGCUUGGCUGCUGUCUGUGUGCUGGAAAAGACAAGGGCAUCGACAUAAAUAAUAGCAGCACCCAUUAAGCCUGUUCCUGAUCAGCCUGGCUGGACUCUGCAACAAUAGGGCAGGUGCAGCUGGGAAGGAAAACACCUCUGCCCAAAGGCUGCAGCAAGAGGCAUUUGGAAGGUGGGAGAAAGAAUCUACCAAAUGCUUAAGCAAAUCUGCGACCCCCCACUCAAACCUUUUUGAGGGAAAAGACAUGGCACUGACUUCGGUCCCUUAGCAAAUGAAGACAGCUGGUGGUCUGCAUUUAAACGUGGCUGUUCGGCGCUCAGGCCAGGUUUGGCAGCUCACAAAUCAGAUUGCCUCUUGGUUCUCAGGAGUGGAGAAUUGCCACGAGUGGAAGAGCUGAGGGGAAGUUGCUGCCCAUAACUGCUGUGCCAGCAUGGGCUCUAGGCUUGCGGGGAGGCACUGAAGUUGUUGGUUCAGGAGAGAAAUUCAGUUUCUGAGGCUUUAAUGUUAUGUGACAUUAUUGGCAUAUGGCAAGGUGGUCCCAAAUGGUAUUUUUCUCUCAUAUGGAUGGGUUGUGAGCCAGUCCUUUUGCUUUGGUAAUUUAUUUCAUGCUAGAGCAUAGACUGUGUCUUAAAAGAGGCAGGAAAACACAGAGCUAUUAAAUCUCACCUGGUCUCAUGUUAAGAAAGUGAACUGAAGAGUGGGUCCUGGCUUUGCUCAGAUUUUGUCUGCUGGGAACUGGCUGCAGAUACUCAGUUUCACUCUUACUGCUGACCACAGGCAAUGUCCUCCCAGUGCUGCUGCGCUGGCAAGAUGAGUUUUCUUAUGAUUCCUUUUGCCUGGGACUGCCAGAAUGCCUGGAAGAGAGAAAAUGGUGUUGACUUGCCUGUCUUUUGGACACUGCACGCAGCGAAGUAUCUGGUAACAUGAUUUAUAUGCUGUGGUCACUUCUCCUGCAAGGCAACAUGAGAAAGACAUCCUGAGCAGAACUAGAAAACAAAACCUUUUUCAUAGAACAUGAAAAGAUAAAAUUGACAAGAAAGGAGCUGUCAGUUUAGACUGGUAGCUUUUGUCAGUGUAG